AAUCAACGCUGGCGGCGCGCUUAACACAUGCAAGUCGAACGAGAAAGGGGAGCAAUCCCUGAGUAAAGUGGCGUACGGGUGAGUAACACGUGGAUCAUCUACCUCUUAGUGGGGAAUAACUCUGGGGAACCGGAGCUAAUACCGCAUAAGCCUGGAAAGGGAAAGUCGUAAGACGCUGAGAGAGGAGUCCGCGGCCGAUUAGCUAGUUGGCAGGGUAAAAGCCUACCAAGGCAGNGAUCGGUAGCCGGCCUGAGAGGGCACACGGCCACACUGGCACUGAAACACGGGCCAGACUCCUACGGGAGGCAGCAGUGGGGAAUCUUGCACAAUGGGGGCAACCCUGAUGCAGCGACGCCGCGUGAGCGAUGAAGCCCUUCGGGUGUAAAGCUCUUUCGGCAGGAACGAUAAUGACGGUACCUGAAGAAGAACCUGCGGCUAACUACGUGCCAGCAGCCGCUGUAAC
rnacentral:rRNA from 1 species